CAGAUGGGCGCACACAUGUGAGUUCUUCUGCUUCUGGAUGAGACCACGCUUGUUUGUCUACACCUGGAGACCAUCAGGGAAACAGACGAAGGCCAAGGGUCCCUGGUUCUUUGGAGGCGGAGACAGGACUCAAAUCUGCUUCUCUUUAUUGCUUUACUAAAUCCUCGCCCACAUCUGUUGGUGAAACUGCUGCCCCAGGCCUGAAGUCAUCCCAUAAAAUGGGAGAUUUGGAGAUUGCCACUUGAACAUGAAGACGGCCAUCUACGAGCCAGAGACAGGGGCCUGGAACAAUC